UGGGAUAUCUAUAGCUAACUACUCCUGAGUCGAGGAACAAGACCCCAACCGUUUUUUGCUGGCCUCCUGCUAUUAAGGCGAUCUAACGCCAACGCCAGCACAGUGUUCCCCUGCCCUUCGUUGGUCGCUACGGCGGCCAGCGGCUGGAGGGUGGGGGAACCUCAGACCUGAUGACCAGUCCUUUUUUCGUCUCCGUUGUCAGGGCAUCGACGGCGAUAGAAAUAAAGGUCAUCCACGCGUAUCGGUUUAUUGGUUCCUUUUCCGAUCGAUGAGACUCCGCCAGUUUCGACCUCAUCAUGGAAUUAAUGCGGCCAGGUCUUCCAGCCCUCUUCAUCGUUUUCUUCUCUGGGACGAUGGUCUGUUUCUCGGAUCACUGUCGCCAACUUCUUCUGGUUCUGACCGGCGACUUCCCGACUGCCACGCCGACAACAAUUUCCUGGCUUUGACAUGGUUCGAAAGUCCAAAGGCAGCAUUGAACUUCGCUCAAGGCGCGCUACCGGCGAGUACGUGCAGAGGAAGACAACGACGUUUACGUACAAGAACUUGCGUGAAAUUUUUUUUUACUUUAAAAAUUGUUCUGUAAGGAUUGGUUGAUUUUAAUAUAUGACCUUGGCCUUCUCGCAAAAAAAAA